rnacentral:tRNA from 1 species
GGUAAAAUGGCUGAGUAAAGCAAUAGACUGUAAAUCUAAGAACGGAGGUUUAAUUCCUCUUUUUACCAG